UACGUAGGGUGCAAGCGUUGUCCGGAAUUAUUGGGCGUAAAGAGCUUGUAGGCGGUUUGUCGCGUCUGCUGUGAAAUUUCGGGGCUCAACCCCCGAACUUGCAGUGGGUACGGGCAGACUAGAGUGUGGUAGGGGGAGACUGGAAUUCCUGGUGUAGCGGUGAAAUGCGCAGAUAUCAGGAAGAACACCAAUGGCGAAAGCAGCUCUCUGGGACGGUACUGACGCUGAGACGCGAAAGCGUGGGGAGCGAACAGG
rnacentral:rRNA from 1 species